rnacentral:misc_RNA from 1 species
GUGAACGCCCUCACGGGCUUAUACUAUUCCAAACCUCUGUGAACCGUGCCCUUCGGGGCUAUUUUUACAACACAUGGUUGUAAUGAACGUCAUAUAUCAUAACAAAACA